GAAUAAAUAAAUAAUACAAACGUAUUAUCACAUAGUAUCAGAAGUAAAAGAUUGAUCAUCAUGAGUAAAUUCAACUUUCCCAGAAACCUUCGCCUCAAAAGAAAUCUAAGCGAAAACUGGGGGAAAUUCAAGCAACAGUUUGAAAUAUAUUUAGAAGCAUCAGGUGACAAUGUAAAGUCGGUUAACACAAGAGUAGCAAUAUUCCUCAAUUUUGCCAGAGAAGAUGCGGUAGAAAUUUAUAAUAAUUUUGAUUUUGCGGAAGCCGAUAACAGAAAGAAACUUGAUAAAGUCAUCGAGAAGUUUAAAAACUAUUGCAAUCUUAGAAAAAAUGUUAAUUUUGAGCGACAUCAAUUUUGGCAAUCGACUCGAGAUGUUACCGAGACUAUAGAUCAUUUGGUAACUAGACGAAGUAAAGUAAAAUCUUGCGCGUUCAAAGAAGGGCCAGAAGAUAUGAUAAGGGAUUGUUUCAUUUUCAAUAUGCGUGGCCAUGGAGUAAAGGAGAGACUGCUGAGAGAAGAUGAACUAACGCUUGUUCAAGCUAUAAACAUGGCCAGAGCUGCAGGGACAUCAAAACAACAAAUACAUAAAAUGGAUAAUUACUCGGUUGGGUCGUCUGUUGACAACAUCAGGCAAUCAAAACACAAGAGCUUGUUCGCCAAGGCUGAUACGACGCGGCAAUGGAAAAACGUAAAACAUUGCAAGUACUGUGGUGGUAGUCACGUACCUAGAGCAUGUCCAGCUUUUGGAGAAAAGUGUCGAUUUUCCAAGAAGAUUGGACGUUUUGAGAAAGUAUGCAGGACGAAGCAAGAAGACUAUAAAUCAAGCAAAGAAAGAGUAGUGGGUUUGAUCUCUGAAGACUAAGAUGUUUUUAUGUUUUCGGUCGAUAGCGAGACUGAAAAGAAAUGGUUCGUUGACUUUCAUAUAAACAAACAGUUAGUUAAAUUUAAACUAGAUUCCGGUGCCGACUGUAACGUAAUGUCAAAAGAGACUUUUGAUGGAUUGCGUCUGAGAAGAUUAAAGAACAAAUCUGAGGAUGUAUGGUGGACAUAAGGUCAAAGCCUACGAAUUUCGAAAUACUAUCACUGGGAUGAAAGAGUCACCAGCAGAACUUCUAAUGAGCAGAAAACUUAGAAGCAGAAUUCCAACAGGAAAAAAUUCCCUGCAACCAAGAAUUUCAGCUGAUGCCAAGAAGUCUUUAUGUAGACGAAAACAAGACCAGAAGAGAUUUUACGAUCUUCAAGAGGGAAAAGAGUGGUAUCCAGCUGUAGACGUUUCCAAGCAUGAUACACCGCGAUCAUUAAAUAUUCUGACGCCAGAUGGCAGAAUGCUUGACGAAAUCAGCAUCAUUUGGUUACAACUAGGGGUGGGCAAAAUCGAAUCGGAGGUCGAUACUCCCUUCGAGAGAAGAAGAAACUUUGAAAAGUCGGCAACAAAGUGUUUUUUUACUGGUUAAAUUCAUCAAAAUCGCCAGUUGUUUUUGUCGCCGCGAUCCUAAAGUUCGUAAUCUGUAUUCCCGCCGAUUCAUUUUUUUGAAAGUAUCAAUUCUUGCGGGUCGGCGGACAUCGAAGUUUUAUAUAUUACGUAUACCCGUGUGUUGCCGUUGAAUUUUUUUUUAAAACUGAAAAGUCGCCAAUAACGCGUGCAAUAGCAUUUUGCUAUAAUCGCCGGGUAUUUAGGCCGUAAACAACUUUAUGUUGUUUUUAUUUUCUCUUGAUCUAAAAUUUUCCACAACGUUGUGCGACGUUAACGAUAAUUAUUUUAUUUUUGUACACAAACGGAAUUGCGAAUUCGGCGAUAGUUUAAUUAAUGUACGUUCACCGGCGGCGAGUUUCUGAAAACAACGAAAAUUUUUUGAUUAAAAUGCGACAAUAUAAAAUACUGAAAAUAGGACUGUAAACAAUAUGAGUUUUAUUGAUGCCUGUGACAGUUUUAAUACUGAUAUUCUUGGAUAUUUGAAAGUUCCGAGGCCGAGGAGAUCAGAAUUAUACUAUCAAAUUGCUAUUUUUUUGUGUGAAAGCUCGACGUAUUUAAAUCUAUUAGGAAAAAUUAUUCAGGAUACUGUGGAAUAAGUUAUCUUU